GGAAAAUUAGUUAAGAUUACAUAACACUAGUUUGUCGUUCUAGAAUCACUAAACCAUUAGUAUUUUCCU
rnacentral:tRNA from 1 species